UUGGGUGCCCCCAAGUCAGCUCGGCGGCGACAGAAACUCCAGCGAGGGCAGGAGCCUGAGACCUCUUUGCUGAAGCCAAAGAAAUCUGCAAUUUCGUUUGGGGCAUAAUCAGAUCUCUUCUGGAGUGUUCCUUCUACCCGGCCUCCAGAAGAGAUGAUUUUCAUUCAUGUACCGUGUGAUGGGGGUGUGGCUUCAGAUGGUGAGGAAGCUGUCCCAGAAGGAGGUCAAGGGUGGGCCUCCCCUCAGAAAGGCAACAGCCUAUGCCACACACAGGGGAGGGGAGACAGAAGUGGGUAUGAAGCUCGGCCCCGCUACCCACUGUGUGACCUUUGGAACUCAGCCACACUGAGCUUCACUUGCUUCCUUACAGGGACAACAUCAGGGGCAAAUGGCCUAAUGCACGCAAAUCGCUAGGCACAGCGCGGGCACCAGGGAUCACACAGGAGAGAUAACUCUUCAUGCAGAAUUUCCUCUUACUGAAUGCCUCAAUCAGAGACUGGCUCAGGAUAUGUCAUGUUCCGUUGUCAGUGAUGAAAAGAUGAUUCCGGGGCCUGGCUGCCUUCUGUGUCCUCUUCAGCCUCUUGAUAUUCUGCUGCUCCCUGAAGCCAGUGCUGCUCAUUCCUACAACAUGGCAGAAGAGAGACCAGUGUUGGACCAGUUGGCAACUUGGGAGAGGAGGAGAAAGAAGUGGGAGAGAAACAGGAGGAAAAGGAGAAGAAAGAAAAUGAAAAGGAAGAAAAGAAUUGGAGCAGGAGAAUUUCAAAUUAAUACUUUUUUCCAUUACAUCACACCAAUUAAUGGAGCUCAAUAGAAAAUGGACUUGUUAAUUCUUCUGAUUUGUUGAUCACCAACUGUAUACCAGACACUGUAAUUGGGACUGGGGAAAAAGUUAAAAUUUUAUGAUAAUGAGGCCAGAAUCCAU